rnacentral:rRNA from 2 species
UUAAAUUGAAGAGUUUGAUCAUGGCUCAGAUUGAACGCUGGCGGCAGGCCUAACACAUGCAAGUCGAACGGUAACAGGAAACAGCUUGCUGUUUCGCUGACGAGUGGCGGACGGGUGAGUAAUGUCUGGGAAACUGCCUGAUGGAGGGGGAUAACUACUGGAAACGGUAGCUAAUACCGCAUAACGUCGCAAGACCAAAGAGGGGGACCUUAGGGCCUCUUGCCAUCGGAUGUGCCCAGAUGGGAUUAGCUAGUAGGUGGGGUAAAGGCUCACCUAGGCGACGAUCCCUAGCUGGUCUGAGAGGAUGACCAGCCACACUGGAACUGAGACACGGUCCAGACUCCUACGGGAGGCAGCAGUGGGGAAUAUUGCACAAUGGGCGCAAGCCUGAUGCAGCCAUGCCGCGUGUAUGAAGAAGGCCUUCGGGUUGUAAAGUACUUUCAGCGGGGAGGAAGGGAGUAAAGUUAAUACCUUUGCUCAUUGACGUUACCCGCAGAAGAAGCACCGGCUAACUCCGUGCCAGCAGCCGCGGUAAUACGGAGGGUGCAAGCGUUAAUCGGAAUUACUGGGCGUAAAGCGCACGCAGGCGGUUUGUUAAGUCAGAUGUGAAAUCCCCGGGCUCAACCUGGGAACUGCAUCUGAUACUGGCAAGCUUGAGUCUCGUAGAGGGGGGUAGAAUUCCAGGUGUAGCGGUGAAAUGCGUAGAGAUCUGGAGGAAUACCGGUGGCGAAGGCGGCCCCCUGGACGAAGACUGACGCUCAGGUGCGAAAGCGUGGGGAGCAAACAGGAUUAGAUACCCUGGUAGUCCACGCCGUAAACGAUGUCGACUUGGAGGUUGUGCCCUUGAGGCGUGGCUUCCGGAGCUAACGCGUUAAGUCGACCGCCUGGGGAGUACGGCCGCAAGGUUAAAACUCAAAUGAAUUGACGGGGGCCCGCACAAGCGGUGGAGCAUGUGGUUUAAUUCGAUGCAACGCGAAGAACCUUACCUGGUCUUGACAUCCACGGAAGUUUUCAGAGAUGAGAAUGUGCCUUCGGGAACCGUGAGACAGGUGCUGCAUGGCUGUCGUCAGCUCGUGUUGUGAAAUGUUGGGUUAAGUCCCGCAACGAGCGCAACCCUUAUCCUUUGUUGCCAGCGGUCCGGCCGGGAACUCAAAGGAGACUGCCAGUGAUAAACUGGAGGAAGGUGGGGAUGACGUCAAGUCAUCAUGGCCCUUACGACCAGGGCUACACACGUGCUACAAUGGCGCAUACAAAGAGAAGCGACCUCGCGAGAGCAAGCGGACCUCAUAAAGUGCGUCGUAGUCCGGAUUGGAGUCUGCAACUCGACUCCAUGAAGUCGGAAUCGCUAGUAAUCGUGGAUCAGAAUGCCACGGUGAAUACGUUCCCGGGCCUUGUACACACCGCCCGUCACACCAUGGGAGUGGGUUGCAAAAGAAGUAGGUAGCUUAACCUUCGGGAGGGCGCUUACCACUUUGUGAUUCAUGACUGGGGUGAAGUCGUAACAAGGUAACCGUAGGGGAACCUGCGGUUGGAUCACCUCCUUACCUUAAAGAAGC